rnacentral:rRNA from 1 species
UGAGGAAUAUUGCACAAUGGGCGCAAGCCUGAUGCAGCGACGCCGCGUGGGCGAAGAAGGUCUUCGGAUCGUAAAGCCCUUUUCCAGGUGACGAGGAAGGACGGUAGCCUGGGAAUAAGUCUCGGCUAACUACGUGCCAGCAGCCGCGGUAAAACGUAGGAGGCGAGCGUUAUCCGGAGUUACUGGGCGUAAAGCGCGUGUAGGCGGCGGGCCAAGUUCGGCGUGAAAGCUCCCAGGCUCAACCGGGAGAGGGCGUCGAAAACUGGCCGGCUGGAGUUCGGCAGAGGGGCAUGGAAUUCCGGGUGUAGUGGUGAAAUGCGUAGAGAUCCGGAGGAACACCAGUGGCGAAGGCGGUGCCCUGGGCCUGAACUGACGCUGAGACGCGAAAGCAUGGGGAGCGAACGGGAUUAGAUACCCCCGUAGUCC